AGGCAGUGCUUUGAAAAUAGACAGAUGUCACAUUACUUAACUCUCCCACAGAAGCCUACGCUUGCAGGUUGUGUGUGUUUUUCAGGCCUGAAGGAAGGAUAAUCAUCUUAAUGUUUUUCAUGAACAGAGUUGUCACUGGGGGCAUGGGCCUGUGCCAGGAUGGAAUGCUUGAAGUCGUCAUGGACUGCAUGAUCUCAGAUUUCUCAACAGAAUGGAGGAAUGUGAACAGGAGACCACUUCAUUCCACUGCUACUAGAGAGCAGAAGGCCUGCAUUACUACAAGGACCCAGAAUUACUAAAGGUUAUCUUUGGAAUUGGGAUUGUUCAGUUGAAAAACAGAAGGCUUUGACCUUCCAGUACUUGAGAAUAGCCGACAAGAACGAUGGAGAGAGACUGGUUGCAAGGGCUUGUAGGGGCAGGACAAAGGAAGUGGAUUCAAACUGAAGGAGAGUAUAUGCAGAUUAGAUAUUAGGGGAAAAUUCUUUGCUUUCAGGGUAGUGAGGCACUGAAAAAGGUUGCCUGGAGAAGUUGUGGAUGCCUCAUCCCUGGAAGUUUUCAAGACCAGGUUGAUUGGGGCUCUGAGAAACCUGGUCCAGCUAAAGGUAAUCAUGUCCACUGAAAAGGGGUUGAAGCUACAUCUUUAUGGUCCCUUUUCAACCCAAGCCAUUCUAUGAUUUUAUAGUUCUAUGAUAUAAAUUAAAAUUCAUCUUAGUUUAAAAAAUGUAAACGUUACAAAUAUGAAAAUUGUACAUUUAGUUGAAGCUUCCACUUUGAUGC
ensembl:lncRNA